rnacentral:rRNA from 1 species
UGUGUGACUGCGUACCUUUUGUAUAAUGGGUCAGCGACUUAUAUUCUGUAGCAAGGUUAACCGUAUAGGGGAGCCGCAGGGAAACCGAGUCUUAAUUGGGCGUUAAGUUGCAGGGUAUAGACCCGAAACCCGGUGAUCUAGCCAUGGGCAGGUUGAAGGUUGGGUAACACUAACUGGAGGACCGAACCGACUAAUGUUGAAAAAUUAGCGGAUGACCUGUGGCUGGGGGUGAAAGGCCAAUCAAACCGGGAGAUAGCUGGUUCUCCCCGAAAGCUAUUUAGGUAGCGCCUCGUGAAUUCAUCUCCGGGGGUAGAGCACUGUUUCGGCUAGGGGGCCAUCCCGGCUUACCAACCCGAUGCAAACUGCGAAUACCGGAGAAUGUUAUCACGGGAGACACACGGCGGGUGCUAACGUCCGUCGUGAAGAGGGAAACAACCCAGACCGCCAGCUAAGGUCCCAAAGUCAUGGUUAAGUGGGAAACGAUGUGGGAAGGCCCAGACAGCCAGGAUGUUGGCUUAGAAGCAGCCAUCAUUUAAAGAAAGCGUAAUAGCUCACUGGUCGAGUCGGCCUGCGCGGAAGAUGUAACGGGGCUAAACCAU